CGCGGCCUAUCAGCUUGUUGGUGGGGUAAAGGCCUACCAAGGCGACGAUCAGUAGCCGACCUGAGAGGGUGAUCGGCCACACUGGAACUGAGACACGGUCCAGACUCCUACGGGAGGCAGCAGUGGGGAAUAUUGCACAAUGGGCGAAAGCCUGAUGCAGCAACGCCGCGUGAGCGAAGAAGGCCUUCGGGUCGUAAAGCUCUGUCCUAAGGGAAGAAUAAUGACGGUACCUUAGGAGGAAGCCCCGGCUAACUACGUGCCAGCAGCCGCGGUAAUACGUAGGGGGCGAGCGUUAUCCGGAAUCACUGGGCGUAAAGGGUGCGUAGGCGGCCAAAUAAGCCAGGGGUGAAAGGCUACGGCUCAACCGUAGUAAGCCUUUGGAACUGUAUGGCUUGAGUGCAGGAGAGGAGAGUGGAAUUCCUAGUGUAGCGGUGAGAUGCGUAGAUAUUAGGAGGAACACCAGUGGCGAAGGCGACUCUCUGGACUGCAACUGACGCUGAGGCACGAAAGCGUGGGGAGCGAACAGGAUUAGAUACCCUGGUAGUCCACGCCGUAAACGAUGAGUGCUAGGUGUCGGGGGUUCAUACCCUCGGUGCCGGAGUUAACGCAUUAAGCACCCCGCCUGGGGAGUACGG
rnacentral:rRNA from 1 species